rnacentral:rRNA from 1 species
CCCGUCACCCUCCUCAAGUAAAUAUAAUGCACUCAAGCCUAUUUACACGCAUCAACUACAUGAGAGGAGACAAGUC